rnacentral:lncRNA from 12 species
CCCCCCCCCCCCCCCCCCCCCCCCCCCCCCCCCCACAUCAUUUUCCUGGCAUUGUGACAGGGACUGUGAACUUCCCUUGGUGUCAGAUGAGCAGUAGCAUGAUGUGGUUUAGUGCUACUGGUGUGAAAGUGAGCCCCUUUGUGUGCAAUCAUUAUCCCCCGCACAACAGCUUUCACCUUCAGCUGAGCUGUGUCUCCGCUUGCUGCUUCUCCCAGCUCUCAGGAGCCAACUUCCCUGCUCCUUAUUGCUUGUUUGUACUUUUUCCCUGCCCAUUCUUGCAGGCUCCAACAGGAGAGCUGCUUGUCAGUCAGGACUCCUCCUCGGCCCAGGCAGGAAAAGCGGAGCAGCAGCAGAUCACGGGUAGAGUGUGCAGCGCCCAAGAGUUCAGCCGGAAGGAGUUGGCUGCAUUUGAGAGGAAGUGCCACUCCUCACUCCACUGGGCAUUUGAAGUGGAGGCAGAGAGCAGAGGAGUGCAUUUGAGAGGAAGUGCCACUCCUCACUCCACUGGGCAUUUGAAGUGGAGGCAGAGAGCAGAGGAGUCACAGCCUCCAAGGAAGCAGAUUAAGGAAGAGGUUCCUCUGGCAGUGCCAAAGGUAUGCUCACCUUAUUCCUAGGCAGUACCAAUGGGAGAGGGAGUUGUCCUAGCAAGACCACCCUGAAUGCUGCUUCUGUCACCAAGCUAAGACCAGGAUGAUGUUGUUGUUGUUGUUGUUGUUGUUGUUGUUCCUCUACAAAAAUGGUGCCCCCUGUGCUUCCAGGUUUGCCAUGCAGUUGGCUGCAUUUGAGAGGAAGUGCCACUCCUCACUCCACUGGGCAUUUGAAGUGGAGGCAGAGAGCAGAGGAGUCACAGCCUCCAAGGAAGCAGAUUAAGGAAGAGGUUCCUCUGGCAGUACCAAAGGUAUGCUCACCUUAUUCCUAGGCAGUACCAAUGGGAGAGGGAGUUGUCCUAGCAAGACCACCCUGAAUGCUGCUUCUGUCACCAAGCUAAGACCAGGAUGAUGUUGUUGUUGUUGUUGUUGUUGUUGUUGUUCCUCUACAAAAAUGGUGCCCCCUGUGCUUCCAGGUUUGCCAUGCGCAGCAGCCAGCCCCCAGGGUUCUGGAGAGGCUUCUCCAGGACUUCUCUCGCCAGGGGCACACACUGUCCCAGGUGUGCAGGGACAAGGCAGUGCUGGCACAAGAGAACGCUGCCCUGCAAGCCUGACUGGCAGCCACAGAGUGGGGCCUACGAGGCCUUUCUGAGCAACUGGCAGAGGCCAGGUAAAGGCAGGAGGGAACCCUGGGUGGGACAUUAUUGAAGGGGUGUAAUUACAAAGGUGGUAAGUGUUACAUCAGGAUUUACUGCCUCCCGUGUGCUCUCCAAAAGUUUCUCAGAGAGAGAGGUGAUGAGACACGAGGAAAAAGAAAAGGAUUCUGUGACCUGAAUGUUAUUUUUUUGGCUCUUACAUGGAAAUGUUGUGAGUAGGACACUGAAACUUCACGUGACGCUGGACGGUCAUGCUGAAAAUCUUGAAACCCUUCUCAGCUUACUCUUAUGAAGCAUGGUGCUGAUGCCUUCGGAUCGGGGUUUUCUGUUCUGCAUGGGUGCUUGGAGUGGGGGGGGUUGCAGCGGUCUGGUGCCGGCUGUGGACUUCGGGGGCGGUUGUCCUUGGGCUCCAGGCCUUGAGUGUGGGCAAUACGGGAGGAGGACGGUUCGGCCAGAGCUUGUGGGAGGUGUGGAGUCAUGUGACCUCUCUCUUUCCUCCCACCGGAGAGCCACUCGGGCAGGGCAGGGGCCACGCUGUGGCACUGUGACUGCCGGAGUGUGGCCUUAGAGGCCUUCCCAAUAAAUACCCUUUUAUUCCCCCUAACUGUGUUCUCUGUUCCAGCGUAAAAAGGCAACAGCCCCCCCCCC